rnacentral:rRNA from 1 species
UACGUAGGGGGCAAGCGUUGUCCGGAAUUAUUGGGCGUAAAGAGCGCGUAGGCGGUCCGGUAAGUCGGUUGUGAAAGUCGGGGGCUCAACCCUCGGAUGCCGAUCGAUACUGUCGGGCUAGAGUCCGGAAGAGGCGAGUGGAAUUCCUGGUGUAGCGGUGAAAUGCGCAGAUAUCAGGAGGAACACCAAUUGCGAAGGCAGCUCGCUGGGACGUUACUGACGCUGAGACGCGAAAGCGUGGGGAGCAAACAGG